rnacentral:rRNA from 1 species
AUUUAUUUUUUUUAUAUAUUUUGAAUAUAAAAAAAAAAACUUCUUAAAAUAACAAUUUAUAACCAAUAAAAGUAAGUGAAAGGCAAUAACAGGUCUGUGAUGCCCUUUAGAUGUUCUGGGCUGCACGCGCGUUACACUGAAAAUAGCAUCAAGUGUUUUAUUUGAAUGAAAAAUAAAACCAACUUUGAAAAAAGAAGGAAAACUUGGAAUUGUUUUCGUGAUGGGGAUUGAUAAUUGUAAUUAUUUAUCAUGAACGAGGAAUACCUAGUAAACGCAAGUCAUUAACUUGCAUUGAUUACGUCCCUGCCCUUUGUACACACCGCCCGUCGCUCCUACCGAUGAAAAAUCCGGUGAAAUAUAGGGAGGGCUUUUUUGUAAGAAAAAAGAAUAAACUUUAUUAAAUCUUAUUUUUUAGAGGAAGG